GAUGAACGCUGGCGGCGUGCCUAAUACAUGCAAGUCGAGCGAACAGACGAGGAGCUUGCUCCUUUGACGUUAGCGGCGGACGGGUGAGUAACACGUAGGUAACCUACCUAUAAGACUGGGAUAACUUCGGGAAACCGGAGCUAAUACCGGAUAAUAUUUCGAACCGCAUGGUUCGAUAGUGAAAGAUGGCUUUGCUAUCACUUAUAGAUGGACCUGCGCCGUAUUAGCUAGUUGGUAAGGUAACGGCUUACCAAGGCAACGAUACGUAGCCGACCUGAGAGGUGGAUCGGCCACACUGGAACGGAGACACGGUCCAGACUCCUACGGGAGGCAGCAGUAGGGAAUCUUCCGCAAUGGGCGAAAGCCUGACGGAGCAACGCCGCGUGAGUGAUGAAGGUCUUCGGAUCGUAAAACUCUGUUAUUAGGGAAGAACAAACGUGUAAGUAACUGUGCACGUCUUGACGGUACCUAAGCAGAAAGCCACGGCUAACUACGU
rnacentral:rRNA from 1 species